rnacentral:tRNA from 1 species
UGGGGUGUGGUUCAGAGGUAAAGUGCUCGCCUCCCGUGUGUGAGGCACUGAGUUCGAUCCUCAGCACCACAU